GAGCAAGAUGAGCUCAACCUUGAGCUCACCCUCCGCACCCCGGUCGCACCGGGCCCCGACGAGGGCUUCUUCCUCUUCAUGUACUGCGACCGUAAGCUCCGCAGCGCGCAGGCGCUCGGCGGCCAUCGGAACGCGCACAAGCACGAGCGCAGCGUCGCCAAGCGCCAGCGGCACAUCGCCGCCGCGACACGCGCACAAUGGGCGCAGUACGCCCCGCCGGACGAGGGGCCGACCCGGUACGGUGACAGAGGCGGCCACCAUGUCGUGUGUGCGGCUGAGAAGGCGAGGAGGACGGAGGCGCGGGAGGCUGCUGCUGCUGCUGGCGCUGGAAUGGCGGGUAAGCGUGGCAAUACUACGUCGGAGUACCGCACCAUCGAGCACGCGGACGAUGUGGACUUGACUCUCAGGCUAUGA
rnacentral:rRNA from 1 species